AACGAACGCUGGCGGCAGGCCUAACACAUGCAGGUCGAGCGGAUGAGGGAAGCUUGCUUCCCGAUUUAGCGGCGGACGGGUGAGUAAUGCCUAGGAAUCUGCCUAUUAGUGGGGGAUAACGUUCCGAAAGGAACGCUAAUACCGCAUACGUCCUACGGGAGAAAGUGGGGGAUCUUCGGACCUCACGCUAAUAGAUGAGCCUAGGUCGGAUUAGCUAGUUGGUGAGGUAACGGCUCACCAAGGCGACGAUCCGUAGCUGGUCUGAGAGGAUGAUCAGCCAGACUGGAACUGAGACACGGUCCAGACUCCUACGGGAGGCAGCAGUGGGGAAUAUUGGACAAUGGGCGAAAGCCUGAUCCAGCCAUGCCGCGUGUGUGAAGAAGGUCUUCGGAUUGUAAAGCACUUUAAGUUGGGAGGAAGAGUUGUAAGCUAAUAUCUUGCAGCUUUGACGUUACCAACAGAAUAAGCACCGGCUAACUCUGUGCCAGCAGCCGCCGUAAGAC
rnacentral:rRNA from 1 species